AACGAACGCUGGCGGCAUGCCUAACACAUGCAAGUCGAACGAGACCACCGGGUGUAGUGGCGCACAGGUGUGUAAAGUGUGGGAACCUUCCCUUAGGUUCGGAAUACCUCUCCGACAGGGGUGCUAACAUCGGAUAAUGUCUUCUAACCAAAGAUUUAUCGAGCUAGGAGGGGCCCGCGUUGGAUUAGCUAGUUGGUAGUGUAAAAGCCUACCAAGGCGAGGAUCCAUAGCUGGUUUGAGAGGAAGAGCAGCGACACUGGGAGUGAGACACGGCCGAGACUCCUACGGGAGGCAGCAGAGGGGAAUACAGGAAAAUGGGCGAAAGCCUGAUCCAGCAAUGCCGGGAGAGUGAUGAAGGCCUGAGGGUAGUAAAGCUCUUUUACCCGGGAUGAUAAUGACAGUACCGGAAGAAUAAGCUCCGGCUAACUCCGUG
rnacentral:rRNA from 1 species